rnacentral:rRNA from 1 species
UAGGGAAUCUUCCGCAAUGGACGAAAGUCUGACGGAGCAACGCCGCGUGAGUGAAGAAGGAUUUCGGUUCGUAAAACUCUUUUGUUAGGGAAGAAAAAAUGUAUAGUAACUAUAUACAAAAGAGACGGUACCUAACCAGAAAGCCACGGCUAACUACGUGCCAGCAGCCGCGGUAAUACGUAGGUGGCAAGCGUUGUCCGGGAUUAUUGGGCGUAAAGCGCGCGCAGGUGGUUUAGAAAGUCUGAUGUGAAAGCCCACGGCUCAACCGUAGAGGGUCAUUGGAAACUAAUAAACUUGGGUGCAGGAGAGAAAAGUGGAAUUCCUAGUGUAGCGGUGAAAUGCGUAGAGAUUAGGAGGAACACCGGUGGCGAAAGCGGCUUUUUGGCCUGCAACUGACACUGAGGCGCGAAAGCGUGGGGAGCAAACAGG